rnacentral:rRNA from 1 species
UGCCAGCCGCCGCGGUAAGACGUAGGGUGCAAACGUUGUUCGCGAAUCACUGGGCAUAAAGCGCACGUAGGCGGCCAGGUCAGUCCGUUGUGAAAGCCCCCGGCUCAACCGGGGAACGGCAAUGGAUACUGCCUGGCUUGAGGACGGUUGGGGUGAGUGGAACUCCUGGUGGAGCGGUGAAAUGCGUAGAUAUCAGGAGGAACACCAGUGGCGAAAGCGGCUCACUGGACCGUAUCUGACGCUGAGGGACGAAGGCCAGGGGAGCGAACGGGAUUAGAUA